GAUGAACGCUGGCGGCGUGCCUAAUACAUGCAAGUCGAGCGAAUGGAUUAAGAGCUUGCUCUUAUGAAGUUAGCGGCGGACGGGUGAGUAACACGUGGGUAACCUGCCCAUAAGACUGGGAUAACUCCGGGAAACCGGGGCUAAUACCGGAUAACAUUUUGAACCGCAUGGUUCGAAAUUGAAAGGCGGCUUCGGCUGUCACUUAUGGAUGGACCCGCGUCGCAUUAGCUAGUUGGUGAGGGAACGGCUCACCAAGGCAACGAUGGGUAGCCGACCUGAGAGGGUGAUUGGCCACACUGGGACUGAGACACGGCCCAGACUCCUACGGGAGGCAGCAGUAGGGAAUCUUCCGCAAUGGACGAAAGUCUGACGGAGCAACGCCGCGUGAGUGAUGAAGGCUUUCGGGUCGUAAAACUCUGUUGUUAGGGAAGAACAAGUGCUAGUUGAAUAAGCUGACACCUUGACGGUACCUAACCAGAAAGCCACGGCUAACUACGUGCCAGCAGCCGCCGUAA
rnacentral:rRNA from 1 species